rnacentral:rRNA from 1 species
UACGAAGGGGGCUAGCGUUGUUCGGAUUUACUGGGCGUAAAGCGCACGUAGGCGGAUCGAUCAGUCAGGGGUGAAAUCCCAGAGCUCAACUCCAGAACUGCCUUUGAUACUGGCGAUCUCGAGUCCGGGAGAGGUGAGUGGAACUGCGAGUGUAGAGGUGAAAUUCGUAGAUAUUCGCAAGAACACCAGUGGCGAAGGCGGCUCACUGGCCCGAUACUGACGCUGAGGCACGAAAGCGUGGGGAGCAAACAGG